rnacentral:lncRNA from 1 species
GAGAUUGUGUCAUUGCACUCCAGCCUGGGCAACAAGAGCAAAACUCUGUCUCAAAAAAAAAAGAGUUUUCUACAUUUUUUUUAGUAGUUGUGACUGAAAACGUUUACCAGUUUAUUAAAGUUAAGGAAUGUUCUUAAGUUCUUUGCUCAGAUGUUUUCUCUUUGGCUUUGAGCACAUUUUGUUUCAAUCACUGUUUUAAGAGGGUGCCACUCUGGAUGGGGAGAGGGUAUAAAAGCCAUUGUUGUGUGUUCGGGAGGACGUGGGAAUAUUGUUGGCAAACCAUGAGUAUGAAUAAAGCUGCGGAACUAUAAGCACAAGCCACCAUGCCUGGCUAAUUUUCUAAUUUCUUGUAGAGAUAGCAGUGAUAGGGGUCUCACUAGGUUGCCCAGGGUGGUCUCGAACUCCUGGCCUCAAGCAGUCCUCCCACCUUGGCCUCCCAAAGUGCUGGGAUUACAAGUGUGAGCCACCAUGCCCGGACUGACAAUCACUUUUUAUAUCAAACUAAUUACUUUCCCAUUUGUUUUAAAGUGUCAACUGUCUUGACUCUAAUCUUGAGUAUACCCAUUUUCAUGUAUGCCCAUGUGCCAACUUUUUGUUUGGUUUGUUCUAAAUGAGAUUAUUUUCAAAGAAUCAUAGCUCAUUGCAGCCUCAAACUCCUGGGCUCAAUUGAUUCUCCCAUUGUAGCC